GUGAACAGCAGCGCAGCCUUCAGGUGAGUCAGCCACUCCUCCCAGUUUGGUGUCAUCAGCAAACUUGCUGACAGUGCCCUCUGUGCUCUCAUGUAGGUCACUGAUGAAUGUACUGAAUAGUACUGCUUCCAGUACUGACCCCUGAGGGACUCCACCAGCUACAGAUGUCUAACUGAACUCUUCCAUUCACUGCAGCUCUCUGACUCCUUUCCUUCAACCAGUUCACAAUCCACCUCACUACCAGAUCAUCCAGACCACACUGCCUCACUUGAGCUGUGAGGAUGCCAUGGAAACCUCUGUCAAAUGCUUUACUGAAUUCAACACAAACCCACAUCCAGUGUCCUACCAUCAUGUAUCCAUGGAGUUAUGUCCUCAUAAAGGGCUAUCAGGUUUCUUAAGCAUGACAUCUCCUUGGUUAAACCAUCUUGACUGUGUCCAAUAACCUUAUCCUUGAUAUGCUUAGAGACAAUGCUGUGGAUAAGUUGCUUCUUCACCUUUCCAGGGAUGGAGGUGAGUUUUGCCAGUCCAUAGUCACCUGGGUCCUUCUUGCCCCUUUUGAAGACUGGAGGGACAUUUGAUUUCUUCCAGUCCUCAGACAGCUCUCCUGUUCCCCACAACUUACUAAAGACAAUGGAAAGUGGCCUAGCAAUGAUUUCCACCAGCUCCCUCAGCACCUGUAUGUGCAUCCCAUCAGGACCCAUGGCUUUAUGGAUGUCCACAUUGAUCCCUAGCCCAGCCCUCAUCAACCAAGGCAAGCUCAAUAUUUAUCCUGAAUUGCUCUGAGGUGAGGCCUCAGCAGUUUGGGGCUCCCGAGGACAGUCUCCAGCAGUAAGGGCAGAGAUCAAAGGUGGCAUUCAGUAGCUCUGCCUCCCUUUUGUCCUCUGUCACCAGAGCACCCACCUCAUUCAGCAGUGGGCCUACUUGCCUCUAGUGUUAGUUUUCUCUGUAAUGUAUUUAAAGUCUUUUUUUUUUUUUUUGUCUUUGACCUCUCUGUGAUUCCAAGGAGGAUUUAGCUUUCCUGGUUGCCUCCCUAUAUAAUCUGACAAGUCUUAUAUUCCUGCCAGGUGGCCAGCCCCCUUUCCAUCCUCUGUAGCCUUUCUUCUUCCACUUGUUUGCCUAGCAGUUCCCUGUUUAACCAUGCUCCAGAAUGGUUUAUUUUCUUUGUAACCAAAAUGUCUUUUAUGUGUCAAAGAGUUCCCUCUGGAAAUAGUCAUAAUAAUGAUAGCAGGUUGCAGCCUCUGAGCCUUGUAAAAUGAGUAUCUCUGAGAUGCUUUAGAAACCAUUAGUUGUUUAAUAGUGAUUUCCUGGCUGCUUUAGUUCUUGCUCUCUAUUUUAUGUCCUAGGCUCAUAAAAAGUCAAGCACUGGUGAUGUCUCUUCUUUGUUAUUUACAAAGCAGAGGAUACCUUAACACAAAAACUAAUAAUAAUUCCAUGGGUACAAAAGCUGCAGUCUGGAAGAGAAAUUGGACUCAGGCUUGGCAGCGUGGAAGAUGUUAGUUCCUGCCUUUCUAACAGCCAGAGCACUUCUGCUUGUGACCCAUUCACUAAAACCAGCCAUAGGAGAUGACCACAUCUGUAAUGUAAGUGUGUUAGUUGUGUGUGGAAGUCAAUAACUGUAACAGAUUCCUGCACUCAUUUGUACAAGCCAUAUUAUUAUUAAUAAUACUCCAAGUGUUAUUAAUCAAGUCCCCAUUGAUAGGCAUGGGUCCAUUAUGCCAGCGUGAUCCUCUGAUGGUUUUUAAAGUCUUUUCAGGUAACCAAAGUGGAUCCAAGUGGCAAAAAUACCAGUAGUGAGAGGAUAUUUGCAGCUGGGCAUUUGUGAGACUGGGAAGGUCUGGUGUCUAAACUAGGUUGAUGGUGCCCCUUUAAAGCAGAACAGAAUUAGUACUUUGUGAAAUAAUCCCAAAUAGUUUCUGCUGAGUGAGUCCCAGCAAAGCUUUAGCACAUCCCUUAAGAUUAUGGGGUAUGCUUUCAGUGUGAUCCCAGAGGAAUUAGACAGGGAACUUCAGCUAUGGCUUAAUGUGACUUGUGCUGCCAGCCUUGCUAGAAAAUGUGUCCUUCUAUAAUGAAAAAAAUAAAGGCAUUUCACAGCCUUGUCACCUCUCCUUCCCCAUUUCUCUCCUCUUCCCAGGCACUCCCAAAGGUGGUCUUUGGAAGGAAUAUUUAUUAUCUUUCUUUUAAGCCUUUAUCAAAUCCUGUUUUGUACCCUGCACUCUUACCUCAGCUUAAGAUAAUGUACUGAUGGAAGUUAAAGAAAUAGAUGACAUAGAAGGAAUCCUGUUGUUGCCAUCUUGGUGUCACACUCUCGGAAAGUAGAAAAACUUCUGCCAUGGCUAAUUAUGGAGUAAGCUACUUACAAGGGAACUGUUUCCCCAGAUUCUUCACACUUGUCGGUCCCAAAACUGGCUUGGGCAUCAAAACAAGUUCUUGAGUUCUUCACCUGAUUGUUACAAACCACUUCUGCUUUAAGUUAGCAAGACUGAAAUCUUCAUUAUUCACCUGGACUUCAAGGUGGCACUGUCAGAAAGCACUGUGGAAUGAUUUUCUUCUGGAAGGACUUUCACAGGUCUCAUGAAUCUUGAUCAAACUCAGCAUUACCACUCUGCACUCAGGUACUCCUGGCUUCUGCCUGUUGCAGUAGCUUCGUUCCAGAAUUCCAGUGCCUUAAACAAGGAGUAUCAAGAGAGGCUUUGCAACAAGUUGAAAAAUGUCAGUGAUGUGGAAAAU